UCCUAGGCACAGAGCAGCGUUUCAUAUCUCAUUCUUGUUACAUUCAGAGACAAGCUGGGAGCUGUACGCAUUGGAGAGAGGACUUACUUCCUCAGUCUCCCCCUCCCACACACCGAUUACGUUGUACCACCCUGCGAUGCGUGACGCGCGGAUCCAAAACCUACCUGCAAUACGUGACACGUAUUGGACACAUAACGGCCUUCAGUAUCGCGCUCUAACCACGCUUGGAGAUGAAGUAGCUGCUCUACUCACUUGACAGCUGCGUUGCCAUGGUGCUGUAGCCCUCUGACAAAGGUAGUGCGCCGUACGGCCCUACGAUACGUGAGGCGUACUCAUCUAUCUGCCUGCACUAUGUGACACGUCCUAGACACAGAGCAGCGUUUCAUAUCGCAUUCUAGUGACCUUCAGAGAUCAGCUGGGUACUCUACACGUUGGAGAGAGGGCUGGUUAUCGCGGCAUUGCCUUCUUUCACACUCAUUACGCUGUACCGCUUGCGAUUCGUGAAGCGGACAAGAAGAACCCUACCUGUGAUACGUGACACGUUCUGGACACAUGACGGAGUUCAUUAUCGCCUUGUAAUCAGUCUCAAUGAUCAAACAGCUUCCCUUUCCACUUGCAAGCGGCAUUGCCGUUGUGCCCUGGCCGUCUGACACAGAUGAUGCGCCGUAUCGCCCUAUGAUGCGUGACACAUAUUAAACCUACCUACCUGCACUACGUGACAAGUUCUAGACUGAGUGUAGCGUUUCAUAUCUCAUUCUAGUUACCGUAAGAGAUCAGCCGGGUACUUGGCGCAUUUAAGAGUGGGCAUACUUUCGCAGUCUUGCCCUCCUACACACUGAUUAUGCUGUACCGCCUUCGAUGCGAAAAAAACGCUUAUCUGGUACGAGCCCAUUUGGUAGGAGAUAUAGGUUCGGACGUGCACUGGACUUUGCAGUUUACCAGUUUCUUAUUGGUGUAUCAAAAGAUGAGUACGAAUCUUGUUUCAAAAAAUGAAUUAAAAGAUAUUUCGAAGGUUACUGGACAAAACAGUAGAAACACGUUAUUAAUAUCUCUGAGGAAACCUGUCAUUUGCAAGAUUCCGAAUAUACCUCUUAUGUCAAUAGAUUCUGAAAAUAAGGCGAUCAUUCGAGAGCACUGAGAGCAACCAGAUAGGCGUUUUUUUGUUUUGUUUUUUCAAUUUUGGAAAAGGGAAAUAUUCACACGGUUUGAUGUUUUGCAUUUCAGUCAAUUGCCUUUCAAAAUAGACUACAUAAAUAAACGUCAAUAUCGGUCAAGUAUUAGAGGAAGGCAAGCGCGAGUGUCUCACUCGGUAUGGUGUUAUCAUAUAAAUAUAAGGAUGCAAAACAGUCAAAUGAACCCGUUGUCAACUGUAUUCUUCAUCGCAGUAGCCUCAAAUAAAGAUUGGACAACUAAAGAAACCUCAUGCAUCUGUUGUCGGUAUGGCGUAAUCAUACUAUGAGUAUGUAAAAUAGUCAUAUGAACCAUGCAUUCAACUAUGUUCUUCAUCAAAGUGGCCUCUCAAAAUAGUUAGACUAAAAAAUCAACGUCAAUAUUUGUCAAAAACGUGUCACAUAAUGGUUGUAGGUAGGCGAAGAAAUCUCGCGCAUCUGUGUCGGUAUGGCGUAAUCAUACUAUAUGCGUGCAAAACAGUCAUAUGAGCCAACUUUUCAAGUGUGUUCUACAUUCAACUAAAAAUUAGACUUCAAAAAUAAAUGUCAAUAUCUCUAAAAGACGUGUCACCUAUUUGAUGUAGGUAGGCGAAAAAAUGUCACGCAUCUGUUGUCGGUAUGGCGUAAUCAUAUUAUGUGCGUGCAAAAUAGUCAUUUGAACUACGUUUUCAACUUUGUUCUUCAUCUGACUGGCUUCAGAAAAUAGAAAGACUAUAAAAAUAAUCGUAAAUAUCUGUAAAAAGGAGGCACGUAUUGUAUGUAGGUAGGCGAAGAAAUCUCACGCAUCUGUCGUCGGUAAUGGCGUAAUCAUACUAUGUGCGUACAAAACAGUCAUAUGAACCAAGUUUUCAAGUGUGUUAUGCAUCCUAGUGGCCUCUCAAAAUAGUUAGAUUUCAAAAAUAAACGUGAAUAUCUGUCACAGACGUGACACGUAUUGUAUGUAGGUAGGCGAAGCAAUCUCACGCAUCUGUUGUCGGUAAGGCGUAAUCAUAGUAUGUGUGUGCAAAACAAUCAUAUGAAAUACGUUUUCAAGUGUGUUCUACAUCCAAGUGGCCUCUCAAAAUAGUAAGACUUCAAAAAAUGUCAAUAUCUGUCAAAGACGUGUCACGUAUUGGAUGUAGGUUGGCGAAGAAAUCACACGUAUCUAUAAUCAUACUAUGAGCGUGCAAAAUAGUCAUAUGAAACACGUUUCCAACUGUGUUCUUCAUCUCAGUAUCUUCAGAAAAUAGUAAGACUAUAAAAAUAGAUGUCAAUAUCUGUAAAAGACGUGUCACGUAGUGGAGUUAGGUAUGCGAAGAAAUCUCACACAUCUGUUGUCGGUAAUGACGUAAUCAUACUAGUACUAUGUGCGUGCAAAAUAGUCAUGAACCAUGUUUUCAACUGUGUUCUUCAUACCAGUGUCUUCAAAAAAUAGUAAAACUAGUAAAAUAAACGUCAUUAUCUUUAAAAAUAGUGUCAGGUAUUGGAUGUAUGUAGGCGAUGAAAUCUCACGCUGUCGGUAAUAGCGUAGCCAUACUAUGUGCGUGCAAAAUAGUCAUAUGAACCAAGUUUUCAAGUGUUUUCUACCUUCAAGUGUUUUCAAAAAAUAGUAAGACUGUAUAAAUAAACGUCAAUACCUGUAAAAGAAGUGUCACGUAUUGCAGAGGGCUAGAGCUACACGGCAACGCCACCGUCAAGUGGGCAGGGCAGCUACUUUAUCUCCGAGAGUGAUUAGAGCGCGAUAGUUAUGUGUCCAGGACGUGUCACAUAUUGCAGGUAGUCUUCUGGUCCGUGCACGCAUCGAGGGCGGUACAGCGUAAUCAGUGUGUAGGAGGGCAAGACUGCGAAAGUAUGCCCUCUCUCAAAUGCGCCAAGCACCCGGCUGAUCUCUGACGGUAACUAGAAUGAGAUAUGAAACGCUACACUAAGUCUAGGACUUGUCACGUAGUGCAGGUAGGUAGGUUUAGUAUGUGUCACGCAUCAUAGGGCGAUACGGCGCAUCAUCUGUGUCAGACGGCCAGGGCACAACGGCAACGCCGCUGGCAAGUGGAAAGGGAAGCUGUUUGAUCAUUGAGAGUGAUUAGAGGGCGAUACUGAACUCCGUCAUGUGUCCAGAACGUGUCACGUAUCACAGGUAGGGUUUUUCUUGUCCGCUUCACGAAUCGCAAGCGGUACAGCGUAAUGAGUGUGAAAGAAGGCAAUGCCGCGAUAACCAGCCCUCUCUCCAAUGUGUAGAGUACCCAGCUGAUCU